rnacentral:rRNA from 1 species
UAGGCGUAAAUGAUGCGAGUUAAGUGUGGGGGCAUCUACGAGAUGGCCCUGUGCUGUAGGGUAGCCGUUAAACUCGCUGCCUGGGGAGUACGGUCGCAAGGCUGAACUUAAAGGAUUGGCGGGGGGAGCACCACAAGAGGUGGAGGCUGCGGUUCAAUUGGACUCAACGCCGGAAACUCAUCGGGAGCGACAGCAGUAUGAUUGCCAGGUUGAUGACCUUGCUUGACAAGCUGAGAGGAGGUGCAUGGCGUAGUCGUGU